rnacentral:misc_RNA from 1 species
AAGUCGUAACAAGGUCUCCGUAGGUGAACCUGCGGAGGGAUCAUUACAGAGCAUCAUGCCCUUCGGGGUAGAUCUCCCACCCUGUGUAUUACAUACCCUUUGUUGCUUUGGCGGGCCGCCCUCGGCCACCGGCUCCGGCUGGUGCGUGCCCGCCAGAGGACCCCAAACUCUGAAUGUUAGUGUCGUCUGAGUACUAUAUAAUAGUUAAAACUUUCAACAACGGAUCUCUUGGUUCUG